rnacentral:rRNA from 1 species
UACGGGGGGAGCAAGCGUUGUUCGGAUUUACUGGGCGUAAAGGCGCGUAGGCGGCCAGCACAAGUCAGUUGUGAAAUCUCCGGGCUUAACUCGGAAAGGUCAACUGAUACUAGUGCGGCUAGAGUGCAGAAGGGGCAACUGGAAUUCUCGGUGUAGCGGUGAAAUGCGUAGAUAAUCGAGAGGAACACCAGUGGCGAAGGCGAGUCUCUGGACAUUUCCUAACGUGAGGCACGAAAGCCAGGGGAGCAAACGGG